GAUGAACGCUGGCGGCGUGCUUAACACAUGCAAGUCGAACGGAGUGCCUUUGAAAGAGGAUUCGUCCAAUUGACAAGGUUACUUAGUGGCGGACGGGUGAGUAACGCGUGAGGAACCUGCCUUGGAGUGGGGAAUAACACAGUGAAAAUUGUGCUAAUACCGCAUAAUGCAGUUGGGCCGCAUGGCUCUGACUGCCAAAGAUUUAUCGCUCUGAGAUGGCCUCGCGUCUGAUUAGCUAGUUGGUGGGGUAACGGCCCACCAAGGCGACGAUCAGUAGCCGGACUGAGAGGUUGGCCGGCCACAUUGGGACUGAGACACGGCCCAGACUCCUACGGGAGGCAGCAGUGGGGAAUAUUGGGCAAUGGGCGCAAGCCUGACCCAGCAACGCCGCGUGAAGGAAGAAGGCUUUCGGGUUGUAAACUUCUUUUCUUAGGGACGAAGCAAGUGACGGUACCUAAGGAAUAAGCCACGGCUAACUACGUGCCAGCAGCCGCGGUAAUACGUAGGUGGCAAGCGUUAUCCGGAUUUACUGGGUGUAAAGGGCGUGUAGGCGGGAUUGCAAGUCAGAUGUGAAAACCACGGGCUCAACCUGUGGCCUGCAUUUGAAACUGUAGUUCUUGAGUACUGGAGAGGCAGACGGAAUUCCUAGUGUAGCGGUGAAAUGCGUAGAUAUUAGGAGGAACACCAGUGGCGAAGGCGGUCUGCUGGACAGCAACUGACGCUGAGGCGCGAAAGCGUGGGGAGCAAACAGG
rnacentral:rRNA from 1 species